UCGUAACAAGGUUUCCGUAGGUGAACCUGCGGAAGGAUCAUUACUGAUUUGCUUAAUUGCACCACAUGUGUUUUUCUUUGAAACAAACUUGCUUUGGCGGUGGGCCCAGCCUGCCGCCAGAGGUCUAAACUUACAACCAAUUUUUUAUCAACUUGUCACACCAGAUUAUUACUAAUAGUCAAAACUUUCAACAACGGAUCUCUUGGUUCUCGCAUCGAUGAAGAACGCAGCGAAAUGCGAUACGUAAUAUGAAUUGCAGAUAUUCGUGAAUCAUCGAAUCUUUGAACGCACAUUGCGCCCUCUGGUAUUCCGGAGGGCAUGCCUGUUUGAGCGUCGUUUCUCCCUCAAACCGCUGGGUUUGGUGUUGAGCAAUACGACUUGGGUUUGCUUGAAAGACGGUAGUGGUAAGGCGGGAUCGCUUUGACAAUGGCUUAGGUCUAACCAAAAACAUUGCUUGCGGCGGUAACGUCUACCACGUAUAUCUUCAAACUUUGACCUCAAAUCAGGUAGGACUACCCGCUGAACUUAAGCAUAUCAAUAAGCGGAGGAAAAGAAACCAACAGGGAUUGCCUCAGUAGCGGCGAGUGAAGCGGCAAAAGCUCAAAUUUGAAAUCUGGCGUCUUUGGCGUCCGAGUUGUAAUUUGAAGAAGGUAUCUUUGGGCCCGGCUCUUGUCUAUGUUCCUUG
rnacentral:misc_RNA from 1 species